rnacentral:lncRNA from 1 species
CCUCAAGAAACAGAACACAAAGAAGGAGAAACAAUAUACGUGACUUUAUUGAUUUUGUGUGGAACUUUAAUAUUGUUUUUGAUCGGCUGUCGCAAAAGAACAUAAAGAAGGAGAAGCAACAAUUUACAAACAAGUCAUUUGUUUCUUUGAUUACGCAUAAGCGAAUGUUAGCAUGUCUACAAACAAUUCUGAUAACACCAAAUUCUCGCUUAAGUCCAUCCUUGAAAAUGCUAAACUUGAUAAUUCUAACUUCAUGGAUUGGUACCGCAACCUGA